rnacentral:lncRNA from 1 species
AGAGAGGCGAGAUAGUGAAGAGAAAGAUAGAGACAAGGGAAGAGAGAGAGGGGGAGAGAGAAAGAGAGAGAGAGACAGAGAGAGAGAAAUGAAGUAUGGGGAGAGAGAAACAGAGGCAGAGAUAGUGAAAGAGAGAGAUAUAGAAGCAGGGAGAGAGGAAUUGAGAGAGAAAAGACAGAGGGAGAGGGAAGAGAGAGUGAAUCAGGUAGACAGUGAAAGAGAAAGAUAGAGACAAAGGAGGGAGAGAGAGGAGAGACAGGGAGAAAGAGAGAGAUUGAGAAGAGAGAGAAACAGAGCAGAGAUAGUGAAAAAGAUAGAGACAGAGGCAGAGGGAGGGAGAGAGAAGAGAGAAACAGAGGCAAAGAUAGUGUAAGAGACAGAGAUGGAGGGAGAGAAAGAGAAAAGAGAGACAGAAAGAGAGAGGAAAGAGAAACAGAGGCAGAAAUAGUGAAAGAAAAAGACAGAAAGAAGGAGAGGGAGAGAAGAGAGAGGAGAGAGAGAUUGAGAGAGAGGGAAGAGAGAGAAACAGGCAGAGAGAGUGAAAGAGAGAGAGAGAGAGAGAGACAGGGACAGUGGGAAGAGAAAGAAACAGAGACAAAGACAGAGACAGAGACCGUGAAAGAGAGGCAGAGUGAGGAGAGAGAAAUAGAGACAGAGAGAGACAGAGAGUGAGAACAUAGGUGGGAAGAAGAAACGGGGAGGCAGGGAGGGAGACUGAGGGCAGGGAAUCAGUGCCUGCUCUCCCUCUUCUGAAACACACCAGGGAAAGCCCUUUGGGAAUUUACGACGGCAACAACAGGCUAUUGGAGCCACUAUUAUCAUUAUUUUUACAGAUGCUGUAAAAAACCUCAGCAAGUCUCCUGGGAAAUCUGAGUGUCUGUCUUGUGCCUGGGACUGUCUUAGAAGCUGGAGAUGCUGCCGUGAAUGAGACACACCAUCCCUGCCUUCAUGGACCGACUAGAAGCACCUUCUAGUCUUACUUUCUCAUUGAACAGAGGGGAUCUCAUGCAGAAUACCACAUCACAUUUAGUCAUCAUGUCUCAGACUUCUCUUGGCUGUGACAGUUUCACAGGCUUUGUUUUUGAUGACCUUGACGGUUUGGAGGAACAUUGCUCAGAUAAUUGCAAGGCUGCAUUAAGGGAAGAGAAAGAGGCAUGGAAGAAGAGAAAGCAAAGCAUCACAAUAGGCUUGAAAGCACUUUUUGGGACAAAACUUUGUAUGUGUACUGAAAUGUGGAACUUAGUGGAAGCAAACAGAAAUCUACUACGUUUUUAAGGGAGGUAAAUUGCUAUGAAACCAUGAACCUGGAACCAAAAAGCUUUCGACUAUUGAGUCCUAAAACCAGUUUCACGCCAGCAUACUUGCACCAGCAGAAGGCUGGCUGUUGAAGCUGGGUAACUGCCAAAGGUUGCAUUCUCCCCAAUAUCCACUGUAGAUAUAGCCAUGGUGGAUAAUGGAAAAGGGAGACCCUUCAAUCAAAAGGGAAGAGUCAGGUCACAGAGGACGGUGACAAAGGAGUUCUUCUCAGAAAACAGAAUCAGAGUUGAAUAUAAGAACUUAGUCUGAGGCCUUCAUAAUGCUCUCCAAGCAGGAUUUCAGAAUUGCUAUGAACCAUAAUGGGCGUGUGUGUUUUCCUUCUUUUCAAACAAGGUCUUUAAUUUGCUGUUACUCUGUCCCUGUGCCACCAUUGUAUAUUGGGUGUGUGUAGAGUAGGGGGUGGGUUGGGGGGCAGAUAAUUUUUCUUUUUAGUUCAUAGGUCACUGGACCACCAAGAGACCUGAUGGAGAUACUGGAACAUUGGCGAUCUUGAGCUUUGACCUGGAUGUGCUGACAGGGGAUGUGAAAAGUCAAGGAGAAUGAUGCAAAAAUACUCAUGAACUAUCCGGUGCUGAACAAAUAGAGGGAAGAUAAUGAUGCUGCUGACGAAACUGAUGAAGAAGACCACGAUGAUGAUAAUUGUGCUUUGCUCGUAAAGUUACUUGAUUUUUGACUGACUGAUUAGAUGCAGUUUCCCUGAAUGGAGCUGCCUACCGCCUUCCUUCUAGGGCUUAUCCAGACAACCUUGGAGAAAGCCUGCCUGGUAGAAGAGAAAGGAGCCAAGCAAAACCAAAAAACGGAUAUGAGAUGAAAAGGAAAGAGAGUAGAGUCCUGGUGACAUCAAGUCCUGGCUCUCUUUGGGGAUCCUGGAGAAGAGUAUUUUUAGGAGGCAUUACUGUGAAGCAUAGCAGGUGGCCAGAUGGUAAUGGAAGGAAACAUGGUCCCUUCUAUCGGCUACAAGAACUGAGUGGCAUUCAGAGCUUCUCUCGCAUCUUGGACUCUCAGGCUGCAGAUCAAUCACAAUGCCAUAGAACACAGAUGACACUUUCCCCUGCUUUGGAGACCCGUUGUUCCCAUGGUGUAGAUACAUGUAAGAGGGAGUGCCAUAGAAAAUGACAACUGCUCGUCAGGUGGGAAGCUCACAUGAAGAAGCCUUGUGUCCUUCCUGCAGUGGAAGACAUCUUCGGGAUAGCAGCCAGGGUAUAUACCUGGGAAAAGAUGACCACCAUCAAUCACAGUGGUGUUCAGGAGCUUUCAGUUCUCAUGCCCCCACAGAAACAAUGACUGACAACCAUUCACAGAUGAGAGCACCUUUGUGGAGCCCGGAAGGCCAGCAGAGAGGUCCAAGCAUCCUGCUGAAGAAAAGAAUCUGAACAUAGACACUUUAAAGAGGAUAAGAAAAGCAGUUUCAUUUUACCAGCAUCGGCCUCCCUCAAGGCAGCACAGCUUAAUGUCAAAGAGACCUGCACCUCCAGUGAUUUCUCCCAUAGGGGAAAGUGAGACCUUCUCCAGCCUAAGGGGUUCUUUUCUUUCUCACCUCACCCAGAAUACUGAAUGAAUGACUCAAUAGUCCUGGGACAAUUCGGGGCAGGGGCUCACAGCAACAUGGGUGCAGUACAUAAAGCGUUAUUGUUUCCACUGGCUGCUCUGCAGAAUCCACCAAGAGGCUGCUCACAAACCUUCCAGGACAUAUCACCUGUGGAGGCCACAACAAGACCAUGGUUGUGUCUGGUAUUUUGCCUGCCCUCUCCCCAUAGAUGUGCCUGCAAGAGCCUCUGCAGCUCAUACACCAAAAACACACACAGACAGCCAACUAGACUGCUCUGGGUUGGGAGAAGAUACUUUAAGCACUUCAUGUCACUGCCCUAGGAAAAAUAAAUUGGAGAUUCUCAGUACCCAGCAUGGUUUUAAGGCUUGAGAGAAAGUAUACAAUCGUAACACUUCCUCGUGGAGAGGGAACAAAAGGAGUGGAGUUGGUGUAUCCAUAGGAUAAGUCUGAGAUUCCACAUGCAAGUGAGAUCAUGCAGUAUUUCUUUCUUCAUCUGGCUGAUUUCACUUAGCACAGUGUUCUCCAGGUUCCUCCA